rnacentral:rRNA from 1 species
UUCUCCUAAAUUUGGAAGGCCCGUAUUCCCCCUAAGAUUAAAAUUUUCUUGUGGCAAGCUUUCCGAUGCCGGUUGCCCUCGGCUAAUCAAAUUCGUAAGAGAAAUGGACCGGGCUCCCAGUUUUGUGCCCUUUGCGGUGAUGUGGAAGACACGGAACAUAUUUUUUUUCACUGUCACCUGGCUAAGCUCAUUUGGAGUUGCGUGCGGGACUGGCUUCGUGUUUCUUGGGCCCCUGCCUCCUUUGCCGAGUUGCGCAACUUGGCAUCCAACCUUUCCGGUGUAUCCAGGCGCAUCUUUUGGGUGGGCUUGGGUGCUUUAUGCUGGUCCUAUGGACAACUAGGAACAAAUUUACUAUCGAGCACGUGUUUCCGGCUAAACCGGCUGACUGCUUAUUUAAAUCGUGUGCUUUCCUGCAGCAGUGGAAAUCAUUGA